AUUGUCUGUUGUAGGGAGCUCGCUUAUGGCUUUCUGAGUAAACUGCUCUGCUUCUAGGCACCAGAGAAGGAGGAAUUCCUGGCCUGGCAGCAUGAUCUGGAAGUGAAUGAUAAAGCUCCCGCCCAGGCUCGGCCAACGGUGUUUCGAUGGACGGGGGGCGGAAAGGAAGUUUACUUAUCUGGGUCCUUCAACAACUGGAGUAAACUUCCCCUCACCAGAAGCCACAAUAACUUUGUAGCCAUCCUGGAUCUGCCGGAAGGAGAGCAUCAGUACAAGUUCUUUGUGGAUGGUCAGUGGACGCACGACCCUUCCGAGCCCAUAGUAACCAGCCAGCUUGGCACAGUUAACAACAUCAUUCAAGUGAAGAAAACUGACUUUGAAGUAUUUGAUGCUUUAAUGGUGGAUUCCCAAAAGUGCUCCGAUGUGUCUGAGCUGUCCAGUUCUCCCCCAGGACCCUACCAUCAGGAGCCCUACGUCUGCAAACCCGAAGAGCGCUUUCGGGCACCCCCUAUUCUCCCCCCACAUCUCCUCCAGGUCAUCCUGAACAAGGACACGGGGAUUUCCUGUGAUCCAGCUUUGCUUC
rnacentral:lncRNA from 1 species